UGGGGAAUUUUGGACAAUGGGCGAAAGCCUGAUCCAGCAAUGCCGCGUGUGUGAAGAAGGCCUUCGGGUUGUAAAGCACUUUUGUCCGGAAAGAAAUGGCUCUGGUUAAUACCUGGGGUUGAUGACGGUACCGGAAGAAUAAGGACCGGCUAACUACGUGCCAGCAGCCGCGGUAAUACGUAGGGUCCAAGCGUUAAUCGGAAUUACUGGGCGUAAAGCGUGCGCAGGCGGUUGUGCAAGACCGAUGUGAAAUCCCCGAGCUUAACUUGGGAAUUGCAUUGGUGACUGCACGGCUAGAGUGUGUCAGAGGGGGGUAGAAUUCCACGUGUAGCAGUGAAAUGCGUAGAGAUGUGGAGGAAUACCGAUGGCGAAGGCAGCCCCCUGGGAUAACACUGACGCUCAUGCACGAAAGCGUGGGGAGCAAACAGGAUUAGAUACCCUGGUAGUCCACGCCCUAAACGAUGUCAACUAGUUGUUGGGAUUCAUUCCUUAGUAACGUAGCUAACGCG
rnacentral:rRNA from 1 species